UAAAAACGCGUUGCGAUAGCAAGGUGUUUUCGCCGAUAGUGCUCUCAAACGUGCUGUUUCCCUCUUUCUUGAGAGGGAAGCUGAAGCUUAUAUAAACCGCAGCGAAACCAGCGCAAAAAGGAGAGCCAUCCCGACGACUGGUAUGAGCCUCAUCUUCACAGCCGGCGGGUUCCUUCGGCAGCCGAGAGGUUACAGCUGUGGUCUAAUGCAGGGAAUUGCGAUAGGAAUUCCAGCUCCUUCCACAAUGCCGUAGACGCCUGCGACACAGGAAGGGUACAGCAGACGAGUCUCUCCAUAAGCUACUGUGGGAACGGCCUCGAAACCCCGCUACGCCUGUACUUGACGGUACCCACACUCUCCAGCCACGUGAACCCCUCCUCGGGGUACUUCAUCAAUGCCAAGCCGCUGUCCGAGAGAAGAGGUCAUCCUACGUGGUGUGCUGUACAAAGCCCCUGGAUGUUUGCUGACAUCUUGCACUUGCCAGACGUUGCAAAAAGGUGGAAGGGCAUGCGGUAAUGGCAAGGUAUCAUCGCUAAUAGCCCCCCUUCCCCCAAAACACGUAUAAUCCCUCUUUUGUACUGGUAAUAAAUCUGAAGCUUGUUCAGCCGUAGCGCUACACGGGCGCGAAAAAGUGCAUCUUAAGAAUUGUUCUUGGCCGCAGACUGAUUAUGACGCAGUGGGUGUUUUCCAGGGAAUGGCGGUAUAUGAAUAAACUGUUCUGAGAGA